rnacentral:rRNA from 1 species
GAUGAACGCUGGCGGCGUGCCUAAUACAUGCAAGUCGAGCGAACAGACGAGGAGCUUGCUCCUCUGACGUUAGCGGCGGACGGGUGAGUAACACGUGGAUAACCUACCUAUAAGACUGGGAUAACUUCGGGAAACCGGAGCUAAUACCGGAUAACAUGUUGAACCGCAUGGUUCAACAGUGAAAGACGGUCUUGCUGUCACUUAUAGAUGGAUCCGCGCCGCAUUAGCUAGUUGGUAAGGUAACGGCUUACCAAGGCAACGAUGCGUAGCCGACCUGAGAGGGUGAUAGGCCACCCUGGAACUGAGACAACGUCCAGACUCCUACGGGAGGGAGCAGUAGGGAAUCUUACGCAAUGGGCGAAAUGCUGGCGGAGCAAGGCCGCGUGAGUGAAGAAGGUCUUCGGAUCGUAAAACCCUGUUAUUAGGGAAGAACAAAUGUGUAAGUAACUAUGCACGUCUUGACGGUACCUAAUCAGAAAGCCACGGCUAACUACGUG